rnacentral:rRNA from 1 species
AGUUAACGCUGGCGGUAGGCCUAACACAUGCAAGUCGAACGGCAGCACAGUAAGAGCUUGCUCUUACGGGUGGCGAGUGGCGGACGGGUGAGGAAUACAUCGGAAUCUACUUUUUCGUGGGGGAUAACGUAGGGAAACUUACGCUAAUACCGCAUACGACCUACGGGUGAAAGCAGGGGAUCUUCGGACCUUGCGCGAUUGAAUGAGCCGAUGUCGGAUUAGCUAGUUGGCGGGGUAAAGGCCCACCAAGGCGACGAUCCGUAGCUGGUCUGAGAGGAUGAUCAGCCACACUGGAACUGAGACACGGUCCAGACUCCUACGGGAGGCAGCAGUGGGGAAUAUUGGACAAUGGGCGCAAGCCUGAUCCAGCCAUACCGCGUGGGUGAAGAAGGCCUUCGGGUUGUAAAGCCCUUUUGUUGGGAAAGAAAAGCAGCAGGUUAAGACCCCGCUGUUCUGACGGUACCCAAAGAAGAAGCACCGGCUAACUUCGU